rnacentral:lncRNA from 1 species
UUCAUUUUCAUUUUACACGCAGACAGGUAGGCAAAUUGUGUUUAACAGUCAAAAAAAAAGGGAGACUUUCUAGUUUCUAUUACUGCACAUGGCCAAAUUAGUGGCUAUACGUGCAUGGCAGCCAUUUGUGAGGAGACUCUGGUUGAAUGCCUCGUCAAAAUCUCGUCAUCUUCCAUUAAGUUUAGGGUAGGAUUUUUCGUGGCAUAAUCUAAAGAGUCAUUGUCUAGGUUGAA